AAGUGCCUCCCAAGGAGAAAGCUGGUCAAUUCAUCGUGGCAGAGGCUUGGGGGCUGAGCUGGAGUCUCGGUUCUCCACGGACGCGGGCUGCCCCCAACCCAGGGUGUGGCCGGAAAGGCAGCUGGGAGUGACGCAUCACGGCCAGGGGAGCAUCUGACCACAGCUUUCAGAUGUGAGACGAGGAGCUGAGCUCUCGGCCCCGUGGAGUUUCCCUCGUGGCUUCAGCGGGCAGCGUUCCAGGUCCCCGACCAUCCUCUGUGCCCGUGUGUGCUGCAAGCCCCUGGUGGCUGUUUCCAUCGUCCCAUGAGCCCAUGGGG
rnacentral:lncRNA from 1 species